rnacentral:rRNA from 1 species
UACGUAGGGUGCAAGCGUUAAUCGGAAUUACUGGGCGUAAAGCGUGCGCAGGCGGUGAUGUAAGACAGAUGUGAAAUCCCCGGGCUCAACCUGGGAACUGCAUUUGUGACUGCAUCGCUAGAGUACGGUAGAGGGGGAUGGAACUCCGCGUGUAGCAGUGAAAUGCGUAGAUAUGCGGAGGAACACCGAUGGCGAAGGCAAUCCCCUGGACCUGUACUGACGCUCAUGCACGAAAGCGUGGGGAGCAAACAGG